rnacentral:rRNA from 1 species
GACGAACGCUGGCGGCGUGCUUAACACAUGCAAGUCGAACGGUGAAGCGCCUUCCUUUUUGGUGGGUGUGGAUGAGUGGCGAACGGGUGAGUAACACGUGAGUAACCUGCCCCCUUCUUCUGGAUAACCGCAUGAAAGUGUGGCUAAUACGGGAUAUUCUGGGUCUGUCGCAUGAUGGGUCUGGGAAAGAUAUUGUUUCGGUGGGGGAUGGGCUCGCGGCCUAUCAGCUUGUUGGUGGGGUGAUGGCCUACCAAGGCGGUGACGGGUAGCCGGCCUGAGAGGGUGGACGGUCCCACUGGGCCUGAGACACGGCCCAGACUCCUACGGGCGGCAGCAGUGGGGAAUAUUGCACAAUGGGCGCAAGCCUGAUGCAGCGACGCCGCGUGAGGGAUGGAGGCCUUCGGGUUGUGAACCUCUUUCGCCAGUGAAGCAGGCCUGCCUCGUUUGUGGGUGGGUUGACGGUAGCUGGAUAAGAAGCGCCGGCUAACUACGUG